rnacentral:rRNA from 1 species
GACGAACGCUGGCGGCGUGCCUAACACAUGCAAGUCGAGCGAGUGGAGUUCUUCGGAACAAAGCUAGCGGCGGACGGGUGAGUAACACGUGGGCAACCUGCCUCAUAGAGGGGAAUAGCCUCCCGAAAGGGAGAUUAAUACCGCAUAAGAUUGUAGCUUCGCAUGAAGUAGCAAUUAAAGGAGCAAUCCGCUAUGAGAUGGGCCCGCGGCGCAUUAGCUAGUUGGUGAGGUAACGGCUCACCAAGGCAUCGAUGGAUAGGGGAGCUGAGAGGCUUAUCCCCCACAUUGGGACUGAGACACGGCCCAA